rnacentral:rRNA from 1 species
CCUACGGGAGGCAGCAGUGGGGAAUAUUGGACAAUGGGGGGAACCCUGAUCCAGCCAUGCCGCGUGUGUGAAGAAGGCCCUCGGGUUGUAAAGCACUUUCAGUGAGGAAGAACGCCUGGUGGUUAAUACCCAUCAGGAAAGACAUCACUCACAGAAGAAGCACCGGCUAACUCCGUGCCAGCAGCCGCGGUAAUACGGAGGGUGCGAGCGUUAAUCGGAAUUACUGGGCGUAAAGCGCGCGUAGGUGGCUUGAUAAGCCGGUUGUGAAAGCCCCGGGCUCAACCUGGGAACGGCAUCCGGAACUGUCAAGCUAGAGUGCAGGAGAGGAAGGUAGAAUUCCCGGUGUAGCGGUGAAAUGCGUAGAGAUCGGGAGGAAUACCAGUGGCGAAGGCGGCCUUCUGGACUGACACUGACACUGAGGUGCGAAAGCGUGGGUAGCAAACAGGAUUAGGUACCCUAGUAGUC